rnacentral:rRNA from 1 species
GGGGGGGGGGGGCGGCGGGCGGGGCGCGGGCGGGGCGGGCGGGGAGGCCCCUGUGGGGGUGCUCGGGUGGCGAACGGGUGAGUAACACGUGAGUCACCUGCCCUUGGCUUCGGGAUAACUUCAGGAAACUGGGGCUAAUACCGGAUAGGAAUCCUUGCUGCAUGGUGGGGGUUGGAAAGCUUCGUCGGUUUGGGAUGGACGCGCGGCUUAUCAGCUUGUUGGUGGGGUAGUGGCUUACCAAGGCGUUGACGGGUAGCCGGCCUGAGAGGGCGACCGGCCCCAUUGGGACUGAGAUACGGCCCAGACUCCUACGGGAGGCAGCAGGGGGGAAUAUUGCACAAUGGGCGGAAGCCUGAUGCAGCAACGCCGCGUGCGGGAUGACGGCCUUCGGGUUGUAAACCGCUUUCAGCAGGGGCGAAGCUUGUGGUGACGGUACCUGCAGAAGAAGCACCGGCUAACUACGUG